UGCAAGUCGAACGAACUCUGGUAUUGAUUGGUGCUUGCAUCAUGAUUUACAUUUGAGUGAGUGGCGAACUGGUGAGUAACACGUGGGAAACCUGCCCAGAAGCGGGGGAUAACACCUGGAAACAGAUGCUAAUACCGCAUAACAACUUGGACCGCAUGGUCCGAGUUUGAAAGAUGGCUUCGGCUAUCACUUUUGGAUGGUCCCGCGGCGUAUUAGCUAGAUGGUGAGGUAACGGCUCACCAUGGCAAUGAUACGUAGCCGACCUGAGAGGGUAAUCGGCCACAUUGGGACUGAGACACGGCCCAAACUCCUACGGGAGGCAGCAGUAGGGAAUCUUCCACAAUGGACGAAAGUCUGAUGGAGCAACGCCGCGUGAGUGAAGAAGGGUUUCGGCUCGUAAAACUCUGUUGUUAAAGAAGAACAUAUCUGAGAGUAACUGUUCAGGUAUUGACGGUAUUUAACCAGAAAGCCACGGCUAACUACGUGCCAGCAGCCGCGGUAAUACGUAGGUGGCAAGCGUUGUCCGGAUUUAUUGGGCGUAAAGCGAGCGCAGGCGGUUUUUUAAGUCUGAUGUGAAAGCCUUCGGCUCAACCGAAGAAGUGCAUCGGAAACUGGGAAACUUGAGUGCAGAAGAGGACAGUGGAACUCCAUGUGUAGCGGUGAAAUGCGUAGAUAUAUGGAAGAACACCAGUGGCGAAGGCGGCUGUCUGGUCUGUAACUGACGCUGAGGCUCGAAAGUAUGGGUAGCAAACAGGAUUAGAUACCCUGGUAGUCCAUACCGUAAACGAUGAAUGCUAAGUGUUGGAGGGUUUCCGCCCUUCAGUGCUGCAGCUAACGCAUUAAGCAUUCCGCCUGGGGAGUACGGCCGCAAGGCUGAAACUCAAAGGAAUUGACGGGGGCCCGCACAAGCGGUGGAGCAUGUGGUUUAAUUCGAAGCUACGCGAAGAACCUUACCAGGUCUUGACAUACUAUGCAAAUCUAAGAGAUUAGACGUUCCCUUCGGGGACAUGGAUACAGGUGGUGCAUGGUUGUCGUCAGCUCGUGUCGUGAGAUGUUGGGUUAAGUCCCGCAACGAGCGCAACCCUUAUUAUCAGUUGCCAGCAUUAAGUUGGGCACUCUGGUGAGACUGCCGGUGACAAACCGGAGGAAGGUGGGGAUGACGUCAAAUCAUCAUGCCCCUUAUGACCUGGGCUACACACGUGCUACAAUGGAUGGUACAACGAGUUGCGAACUCGCGAGAGUAAGCUAAUCUCUUAAAGCCAUUCUCAGUUCGGAUUGUAGGCUGCAACUCGCCUACAUGAAGUCGGAAUCGCUAGUAAUCGCGGAUCAGCAUGCCGCGGUGAAUACGUUCCCGGGCCUUGUACACACCGCCCGUCACACCAUGAGAGUUUGUAACACCCAAAGUCGGUGGGGUAACCUUUUAGGAACCAGCCGCCUAA
rnacentral:rRNA from 2 species